rnacentral:sRNA from 1 species
UUUUUUAACUGGCGUGUAGAAAUCUGUACAUAGAUCUGUACAUGUUGGUUUUGUUGAUGGAUAUUCCAAAUUACUGAUUUAUUUACUGGUGUUGUGUUGACUGAACUAUGUCCUGUAUUCUCCUCUGUGUAGCAGUUUGUAUGCAAUGAAAUGGAUCCUGCGUGAGUGAAUGUUGGUAUGAGUAUAGAGCAGCCUGGAUAUCCCCUGUCAUCUGUUGACAGAUCCCCAGGAUCUCCCAGCAGAUGUCUCUGUAUAUAGCAGAUAUAUACAGUCCCCGAUCAUGGUGGACUAGGACCUGUAGCUCAUCUAGAGCUGCUUGUGAUAAUGUUGUAUCAAUUUGUCUGUAACACAAGAACUCUAGGAAAUGUAACAUUACAAACACUGGGACAAAUAAUGCAGGCUUUCUGUUCUGUAGAGCAGACUGUUGUUCUGGAAUUAGUUCACUGAUAUAACAGAUUUUAUUGUAAUUGUAAAGUGUGAUAUCCCAUGCUACAGCCUGUCUCAUCUUUGUAGACCAAGACUGUCCCCCUACAGCCUCAGUAUACCUCUCUCUGUCUACAUAUCCCUCAUAUAUUAGAUAUGGCUGUGCUAACUUGAACUUUGUCAUCUCUAUAACAGAUAAAGCUUCCCUGUAUCUGAGUGUCUUGUAAUAAUACAUGGCAAUGAACAACAUGUCAGAUACACACCCAAACUUGGCUGCUAAUUUCAGCAUGUGACAGGACAGUUUGUCUGCAAUAUACAUCUGUUUGUUGACACCUGUAUUAGUGUGUAUGUUCUGUAUUAAUAGAAAAGAAGUGCUCUGAAGGAUUAAGGCUGUAAAUCUCUGUAUUAUUACAACUUGAUGAUGUGUCAUUGGUGACUCCACAAACUGUUCUAUCAUGUGUAUGGCUUUGGUUAUUUGAUACAGAGACCGAAUGGCAGCUGGAACUGGAACAGUUGACUGUAUGCUGGAAAUUAGAAUAUCAAAGUCAACUUCAGACCUAAUCAUACUUUCAUCUGUACAAAUAGAAAGUCUGGGAUUGUACAGGACAUGAAUGAUGUAGGACCUGAUAGAGGGACUCUGUAACAGACAGGCCAAACCUUUCUUGUACAAUUCAUGUAACUGUAGGAACAAUCUGUUUUGUGCUGAGCCAUAGACCUUGGUCAGAAACAUGUUGUUUUGUGGGAUGAAAAAGUUUGGGCAGAUCCCUUUAUACACCCAUUUAAGGAGAAGUUUGAAGCAGAUCCAGAAACCGGCCAGGAGAUUUUGUGGACACCAGUGAGGUAGUGUGUUUUGUUGAAUCGCCCAGAAAACUGUUGUCUUCAUGUGAUAGGAACACAACAGUUUAUUGGUUUCUUCUGAUUGUUGAUUUAAAACUUCUUUUAAGAAAAGUUUUAACAAACCAUAUGUCAAAAACUGACAGUGGCUCAUUGAAUAAACUAGUUUAUAUUCUGCCCGUGAAAAAGAAAUUCUCCAUUCUUCAUUUUCAUGGGGUCCUAAUGGGUGUCCUAUUGCUACAAGGUGACAUCCGUUUCUGACAAUGUCAUCAACAACUUCAGGAUCAGGCCAUGAGUGACAUCUGUCUAUCCAUGAGGAGGCAGACAGAGGCCGAAAGUCAGAAACAAAACAGACUGCAGUGUCAUAUUCUACUCCUGCUCUAACACCACUACCACAGGGUCCGUGUACAGUAGAAUUAGGAUGAACUGCUGAACAAGUUAACUGUCUGUAUAUAGAACUAGAUAUAUAGACUCUGCCAUUCAUUCUGACACAUGAUGAUCGGAUUUCUCUGUAUCUUGAUGGUGUCAGUAACUGGAGUAAAGUGAAUCCUGGUGAACUCUCUGAACUGUCAGAGAGAAUCAAGGUUUUAUUGGCUGUGUUGUAAUACUCAGACUGAGACAUGUCCAUGAUCACUCGGUGGUUGUUGUACCAGUACAUAUAGUCCAGAUCUGAUCCCUUCAGAUCGAACCCUUCUCUCCUACUUCCACUCAUCAUCAUUAUGAUCCCAUCAUCAGGUGUCACUCGUCUCUCCACCAUAUCCCUGAUGUCCUGUGACUCCCUCCUGAUGGCUACCUCUUGUGAAGUCCCCACUUUCUUACACAGUCCCACAAACAUGGACGCCGACAUGUUCUGCAGUCCCUUAUAUCUGUUGUUAUUUGAAAGAAUAUAUUGGAAACAUAUUUCUGUUUCUCAUUUUAACUUUUCACAGUAUUAUUAUAAUACUAACAAAUCAAAUUCAUCGGAUAGAAAAGGUAGUCUUAUUGCAUACAUUAAAGAAACAACUAGGAUACCAAUUAAUGCACUUACAUUUGUUGGGGGAAAGACUCCAUGUUGAAUGAAUUCAGAUAUCUAUUGAGGAGAAAGUUUAUGUUGCUAUUAUAUUUUAUGUGCUGCUAUUUUCUUGUACAACUCUGUAUUGAAAACGGAAGGAUAUCAUUUAAGGAAAUGAAAAAUGUUUGGAUUAUAAAGGAUUAAUUUUAUUAGUAAUUGUAUAAAAAAACCAUGAACUGUUAUAUAAAAAUACAAAAAUUCCAUAAACUAAAUUAGAAUUAGAAACUAUUUUCUGUCAGAGGAAGAGGUGAUUAUAGGAUUCAUGGUCCUACAAUUUUGUCCGUCCUGCUUUGGUUAAAAAUUUAUUCAAUCUUACAGUAAGGUGAAAUGAAUUAACUUCAAUACUUGUUCAGACUCGACUGGGAAUUUAUUUGGACUGGAUUGUGAAACUAUUUCAAAUUAAGAUAUGCCAAUUAUAUUUUUGAAGAAACAAAAGUAAUAUAAUUCAGGGGUUUUUUUGUAUUAAUUUUCAAAAUAAAGCAGUUUGUUUGUUG